CCCUGGUUAGCUCAGUUGGUAGAGCGCUCCACUUGUAAUGGAGAGGUCCCGGGUUCAAUACCCGGACCUGGCG
rnacentral:tRNA from 1 species